rnacentral:rRNA from 1 species
ACCUUCGGGUAUUAGUGGCGGACGGGUGAGUAACACGUGAGAAUCUACCUUUAAGACGGGAAUAAAAAACCCGAUAUGCCGUAAGGUGAAAAGAGCAAUCUACUUAAUGAGGAGCUCGCGUCUGAUUAGCUAGUUGGUAGGGUAAUGGCCUACCAAGGCGACGAUCAGUAACUGGUUUGAGAGGAUGAUCAGUCACACUGGAACUGAGACACGGUCCAGACUCCUACGGGAGGCAGCAGUGGGGAAUCUUCCGCAAUGGGCGAAAGCCUGACGGAGCAAUACCGCGUGAGGGAUUAAGGCCUAUGGGUUGUAAACCUCUUUUUUCAAGGAGGAAGUUCUGACGUUACUUGAAGAAUAAGCAUCGGCUAACUCCGUGCCAGCAGCCGCGGUAAGACGGAGGAUGCAAGUGUUAUCCGGAAUCACUGGGCGUAAAGCGUCUGUAGGUGGUUUAAUAAGUCAACUGUUAAAUUGUGAGGCUCAACCUCAUACCUGCAUUUGAAACUGUUAGACUAGAGUAUUGUA